rnacentral:rRNA from 1 species
UCCGUAGGGGUGACCUGCGGAGGGAUCAUUACCGAGUGUAAAAACUCCCAAACCAUUGUGAACCUACCACUGUUGCUUCGGCGGCCUCGCCCCGGGCGCGUUCGCGCGGCCCGGACCCAGGCGUCCGCCGGAGGCUCCAAACUCUUGUCUUUUAGUGUAUUUCUGAGUGGCAUAAGCAAAUAAAUCAAAACUUUCAGCAACGGAUCUCUUGGUUCUGGCAUCGAUGAAGAACGCAGCAAAAUGCGAUAAGUAAUGUGAAUUGCAGAAUUCAGUGAAUCAUCGAAUCUUUGAACGCACAUUGCGCCCGCCAGUAUUCUGGCGGGCAUGCCUGUCUGAGCGUCAUUUCAACCCUCAGGACCCGUUCGCGGGACCUGGCGUUGGGGAUCAGCCUGCCCCUGGCGGCGGCUGGCCCUGAAAUCCAGUGGCGGUUCCCUCGCGAACUCCUCCGUGCAGUAAUUAAACCUCUCGCGGCAGGAUAGCGGUUGAACCACGCCGUUAAACCCCCCACUUCUCAAGGUUGACCUCAGAUCAGGUAGGAAUACCCGCUGAACUUAAGCAUAUCAUAAGGCCGGAGGAA